CACCUUGGACAGAAUCCUUCGGGAGGAAGACCAUUGUGACUGAGUGGCGGACGGGUGAGUAACGCGUGGGUAACCUGCCUUGUACAGGGGGAUAACAGUUGGAAACGACUGCUAAUACCGCAUAAGCCCACGGUACCGCAUGGUACUGAGGGAAAAGGAUUUAUUCGCUUUAGGAUGGACUCGCGUCCAAUUAGCUAGUUGGUGAGGUAACGGCCCACCAAGGCGACGAUCGGUAGCCGACCUGAGAGGGUGAACGGCCACAUUGGGACUGAGACACGGCCCAAACUCC
rnacentral:rRNA from 1 species